ensembl:lncRNA
CACACUCACCCUUGUGGAGCUCAUAAUUCUAAGGAAUUCCUGAGGUCCUGAGCUAGUAAGUUGCCAUUGUGAGGCAAAGGUUCAAAAUCCAUCAAACUUGAGAGAAGCCUCCAGACCUGGCAAGACUUUCGGUUAGAAAGCGUGGGGCACAUGAAGGGCCUUCUAUCUUGUGGGUGAACAGCAAGAACCAACAAGCUGAGGAUACAACCCACUAAUCGAUUCUGUGCCUCAUUACACUUUCUAAUUCAGGAUCCCUGCUUAAUAUAGAGCUGUUCUUCAACAGAACUGUGAUAAGAUUUGUCUGUUGGUAUCAUGGGACUGGGAUAUGGGAAGAGCCAGAUUAGGAGAAGGAAGAAGAAAGCACGUCAUUGCUGCAAGGCACAGCUGGGUUGCUGUGUCCCACGGAGUAGGGGGACCUGCCAACUUCCCUGAAGGUCCACCAGGAGCUGCAUCUGACCUGAAAGGAGGCACUUCACAACAAGGUGCAUUCCACCCAGGGCCAUUCUCUCUCCUUGCUCACCAUCUUGGUGACGCUUUGAAAAAGGGACCAGUGAUGUCUCCUCUCACCCUGGCCAGUACAGCCAGUGCCUGGUGGUGACCAAGCCAUCUGCAUGACCAAGCAUGGAGCAGAUGGCCCAGGACCAGUCUGAAGGACAAAGUGGAGCUGGAUGUGUUCUGCUCUUCUAACAGGUAAAGCUGCAUCCAUCCAAUGCAAGAUGUGAUGCCUGACUUUUCUGGUGGUUCCCUACGCAUCCCUGAUGUGGGAAGAUGAUGAUAUGCUGGAAACGCACCAGAGGGAUACGUUCCUGAUUUGGAGUCCUGGAGAUAUGGACUAUGAAGAGCAAGAUCCUGAGACACAGAGCUUGUUUAAUUUCUGCUCGAUCCCCAGCAGAUGUGAGAGUGACAGAUGGAGAAGUAUUCAGUGACUCUUGGAAGCCUUUAAGAGACAACAGAUGCCUCCUAACUGUAGAUGAAUUUCUCAGAGGUGCAGAACAAAAGGACAAAAGAGAACAAGGAGCCAGCCCUGCUUUAUCAAGGUACUGAUGCAAACUGGAGCUGCAAAGGCAGAGCAGGCUGUGCUUGGGACGCCUGCAAACAUAAAAGAAGAUGCAGAGAAGGAAUGGACAAAGAAGUGAA